rnacentral:rRNA from 1 species
UGGGGAAUUUUGCACAAUGGGGGAAACCCUGAUGCAGCGACGCCGCGUGAGUGAAGACGGUCUUCGGAUUGUAAAGCUCUGUUUCGAGGGAAGAGAAGGACGGUACCUCGGGAGGAAGCCCCGGCUAACUACGUGCCAGCAGCCGCGGUAAUACGUAGGGGGCGAGCGUUGUCCGGAAUUAUUGGGCGUAAAGGGUACGUAGGCGGUUUUUUAGGUCGAGCGUGAAAGCCCGGGGCUUACCCCCGGGAAGCGUACGAAACCGGAGAACUUGAGUGAUGGAGAGGAACGUGGAAUUCCUGGUGUAGCGGUGAAAUGCGUAGAGAUCAGGAGGAAUACCGGUGGCGAAGGCGACGUUCUGGACAUCAACUGACGCUGAGGUACGAAAGCGUGGGGAGCAAACAGG